CAAAGAAUAGUUUAAAAAAAAAUUAUAAUUUUGGAGAUUAUUGAUAAAGAAGUUCUUUUUCUUUGA
rnacentral:tRNA from 1 species